UUUAAACUAUUAACGAGUUGUUGGUUUUCAGUAGUGACUCCUGGGGCUUGUAGUGCUCAUUAAAGUGCCUUGGGGUCCAGAAAACACCCAGACAGGACUGUGAGAUAGGAGAUGGGGGUGAAGGAGACCGAGCCCAAACUCUCUGAGGCAGCCGGGUACUAAGGGUGCACCUGAGACUUUGGGCGUCUGAACGGCAGUAGGACACUGGUAAGGUGCCUAUUGGGUCCUUAAUGGCCUGGAAUAAGAUGCGUGUUCUUCAUAGUGUUUGAGUUUCUAACCUUAGACAUCUGGUUCACCUUACUGCAGAGAUUAUUCUCACUAAAAUCCCCCACAGGAAGGCUGACAGGGUGAUGAUAUAUUGCACCAGGAUGGCUUUAUGAGAGAUCUGUCAGUUUCAGAUUGGAAGUUGCCCUUACCUUAAAUGAAAUUCCAACCGAUGCAUUAAAAAAUUAUUUACAUUUCAUUUAGCGUAUGUCAUCUUUGGGUUUUUGCCAGCAGCACUAGUGUUUCUGCUUCUCUGUCAGCAGGGAGUGUUCGAAAGCCAAAGUGUGGGCUGAGGCAGCAUAUGCAAAUCAAGAUGCUUUUACGUGAGCUUAAUAUAUGACAAUACUGAUUCAUGAGUUCUUCAGCUUUCUUGAGCUGGCUGAAGACAAAGUCUUGCCACGUGUUAAGGUCCUUAAAUCUUUAUGCUCUGAAACGCUUUUUUUUUCAUGUUUCCAUACUCUUGAAUCGCUUGGAGCAUGAUGUCGGAAUAGUAGAGGCACACCGAUGAGUGACAAACAUUACCAAAGGUACCCACUUCCUUGGCAGAUGUAAAUUCCCAGGAAAUGGAGUGUAGAAGACAUGAAAAUGUGAUCUACCAAGAACCUGGGUUUAGAACAAGCAGUAUGUAUUAAGACUACAAACAAGCAAACAAUCUCAAAAUUUAAACAAUUUUUUUUUUUCUUUUUCCUGUAACUCCAUUUGAAAUGAUAACAAGAACUUUUCUGCCAGCUCCACAGACUCUGCAUGGGAUUUUGAACAGGGUUUGUCCAUGUGCAUUUUCAGCAGCAGCUCUGGCCAGGGCCCCUUUUCCUCACCUCUGUUCCAGUUCCUCCCAUGUGAGAGAACAGCUGAAGGAGCCAUUCACUCGGUAGCUGAACAAAGGACAGACUUGGCUGUUUUUCAGCUGGUUUGUUUUUUCAUUAUUACCACUGGUAACAAUCUCAUAGGUGAAAUAGCAGUUAUAAAGUCUGUGUGUUUGGUUGAUACCCUUAAUGACAGUAUUGCUUCAUCACCAUGAGUUUAUCCAGCUUGUCUGAUUACAAUGUGCAUAAAUAAUUCAGCUGAUAAAUCAUGUAAGUGAUUA